rnacentral:rRNA from 1 species
AACGAACGCUGGCGGCAUGCCUAACACAUGCAAGUCGAACGAGGCCUUCGGGUCUAGUGGCGCACGGGUGCGUAACGCGUGGGAACCUGCCCUUAGGUUCGGAAUAACUCCCCGAAAGGGGUGCUAAUACCGGAUAAUGUCUUCGGACCAAAGAUUUAUCGCCUUUGGAUGGGCCCGCGUUGGAUUAGCUAGUUGGUAGGGUAAAAGCCUACCAAGGCGACGAUCCAUAGCUGGUCUGAGAGGAUGAUCAGCCACACUGGGACUGAGACACAGCCCAGACUCCUACGGGAGGCAGCAGUGGGGAAUAUUGGACAAUGGGCGAAAGCCUGAUCCAGCAAUGCCGCGUGAGUGAUGAAGGCCUGAGGGUUGUAAAGCUCUUUUACCCGGGAUGAUAAUGACAGUACCGGGAGAAUAAGCUCCGGCUAACUCCGUG